rnacentral:rRNA from 1 species
CAUGUAGGCGGUUAGGUAAGUGUGGAUUUAAAGGCGCAGGCUCAACCUGUUGCAUGGUCUGCAAACUACCCGACUUGAGUUUGGGAUGGGAGACUGGAAUUCCACGUGUAGGGGUGAAAUCUGUAGAGAUGUGGAAGAAUACCGAUGGCGAAGGCAAGUCUCUGGCCUGAAACUGACGCUGAGAUGCGAAAGUGUGGGGAGCGAACAGGAUUAGAUACCCUGGUAGUCC